UACAGAGGGUGCGAGCGUUGUCCGGAAUCACUGGGCGUAAAGGGCGCGUAGGCGGCUUGAUAAGGUUGCGGUGAAAGCCCGGGGCUCAACCCCGGGUCGGCCGUGGCAACUGUCGAGCUGGAGCACUGUAGAGGCAGGUGGAAUUCCGGGUGUAGCGGUGGAAUGCGUAGAGAUCCGGAAGAACACCGGUGGCGAAGGCGGCCUGCUGGGCAGUGGCUGACGCUGAGGCGCGACAGCGUGGGGAGCAAACAGGAUU
rnacentral:rRNA from 1 species